ACGCUGGCGGCAGGCCUAACACAUGCAAGUCGAGCGGUAACAGGAAUUAGCUUGCUAAUUCGCUGACGAGCGGCGGACGGGUGAGUAAUGCCUGGGAAUAUGCCUUGAUGUGGGGGAUAACUAUUGGAAACGAUAGCUAAUACCGCAUAAUGUCUUCGGACCAAAGAGGGGGAUCUUCGGACCUCUCGCGUCAAGAUUAGCCCAGGUGAGAUUAGCUAGUUGGUGGGGUAAGAGCUCACCAAGGCGACGAUCUCUAGCUGGUCUGAGAGGAUGAUCAGCCACACUGGAACUGAGACACGGUCCAGACUCCUACGGGAGGCAGCAGUGGGGAAUAUUGCACAAUGGGCGAAAGCCUGAUGCAGCCAUGCCGCGUGUAUGAAGAAGGCCUUCGGGUUGUAAAGUACUUUCAGUCGUGAGGAAGGGUGUGCAGUUAAUAGCUGUACAUCUUGACGUUAGCGACAGAAGAAGCACCGGCUAACUCCGUGCCAGCAGCCGCGGUAAUACGGAGGGUGCGAGCGUUAAUCGGAAUUACUGGGCGUAAAGCGCAUGCAGGUGGUUCAUUAAGUCAGAUGUGAAAGCCCGGGGCUCAACCUCGGAACCGCAUUUGAAACUGGUGAACUAGAGUGCUGUAGAGGGGGGUAGAAUUUCAGGUGUAGCGGUGAAAUGCGUAGAGAUCUGAAGGAAUACCAGUGGCGAAGGCGGCCCCCUGGACA
rnacentral:rRNA from 1 species